rnacentral:rRNA from 1 species
GAUGAACGCUGGCGGCGUGCCUAACACAUUCAAGUCGAACGGACGAGGGGCUUCGGCCCCGAGUUAGUGGCGGACGGGUGAGUAACGCGUGAGGAACCUGCCCCUUUGAACGGAAUAACGACCGGAAACAGUCGCUAAUACCGUAUAACACAUAGAGAUCGCAUGUUUUCUAUGUCAAAGAUUUAUCGCAAAGGGAUGGCCUCGCGUUGGAUUAGAUAGUUGGCGGGGUAACGGCCCACCAAGUCGACGAUCCAUAACCGGACUGAGAGGUUGAACGGCCACAUUGGAACUGAGAUACGGUCCAG